rnacentral:snRNA from 1 species
GUGUUGUAUGAAAGGACAGAAGGUUAGCACUCCCCUUGACAAGGAUGGAAGAGGCCCUUGU